AACGAACGCUGGCGGCAUGCCUAACACAUGCAAGUCGAACGAGACCUUCGGGUCUAGUGGCGCACGGGUGCGUAACGCGUGGGAACCUGCCCUUAGGUUCGGAAUAACUCCCCGAAAGGGGUGCUAAUACCGGAUAAUGUCUUCGGACCAAAGAUUUAUCGCCUUUGGAUGGGCCCGCGUUGGAUUAGCUAGUUGGUAGGGUAAAAGCCUACCAAGGCGACGAUCCAUAGCUGGUCUGAGAGGAUGAUCAGCCACGCUGGGACUGAGACACGGCCCAGACUCCUACGGGAGGCAGCAGUGGGGAAUAUUGGAUAAUGGGCGAAAGCCUGAUCCAGCAAUGCCGCGUGAGUGAUGAAGGCCUUAGGGUUGUAAAGCUCUUUUACCCGGGAUGAUAAUGACAGUACCGGGAGAAUAAGCUCCGGCUAACUCCGUG
rnacentral:rRNA from 1 species